GACCACAAGGCUGGACUUGGAAUCAGAAAGACCAGGGUUCAGGUCCCUCCUGACCUUAGUUAUUUAACCCUGGUCAAGCCAUUUAACUUCUAUGCGCCUCCGGCAGUUUCCUGGUUCUUUCUACUGAGAGGUAGUAGUUGGUUGUAGAAAUUUCUCACACUAAGGCUAGGAAGAUAAUGCCAUUCUAAUGUGAUGUGGAGAUUUUUGAUAAAGCAAAUGGUUGGGAAACUCUCUUAGGUUGAAGCUAAUUCUUUUCAAAUGUGCAUUAUUGGGCAAUAGCUAAUGUUAUUAAUUCAUUUUUCAGCACUUUGUGUUUCUAAGUUAUUUUCCUCACCACAACCCCAGGGGAGAUCAUGUAUGAUACUCAUCUACAUAUCAUAGGUUGAGAAGUUGAGUCUUAGAGAUUAGAUAACUUCUCUAUACACACAGCUAAUAAUUGUUGGAACCAGGACUUGAGCUGAAGAUUUUCCUGGGAAGUAUCAUUUGGAUUCUGAAGGUGCCGAUUUAAUUUGUGCUUGUGCAAAGUCACCACUUAUAAUGGGCAGUUCUAAAGCUAAGUCAAAACAUCACUCUUUAGAUUUGACCUGGUGACUGUAUCAGUGGGUGUCAUUUAUCAGAAAUGGGAAAUUUCAUGUACAUCCUGCUUGCAUUUUCAGAAAACUGUUAAGGACUGCAAUUUUCAACUUGGGCCUGCAAGCUAAAAGCAAGCACUAUCCCUUAGAGUGGCUUUUAUCUUUCUUGAUUUUCUGGAGCUGCUGGUUUCCAACUACAAGUCUGUUGGAAAUGUAGUGAGGUGUGUAGGGGUGAAGGAAGCUGACCAUCAAUUUGUAAGUGGACUAAAAUGUAAAAAUCAGUAAAGCAAAUAAUUGUGCACCAAUGUGAAGGGGGAAGCCAUGAGGGGAUAAGGAGGUACUGGAUUAAAAAUACUGAACAGGAGAAAACUGCCUUCUGUAAGAUUUAUUUGUGACAGGUAAUUCAA
rnacentral:lncRNA from 1 species